GUGACCUCAAAUCAGGUAGGACUACCCGCUGAACUUAAGCAUAUCAAUAAGCGGAGGAAAAGAAACUAACAAGGAUUCCCCUAGUAACUGCGAGUGAAGCGGGAAAAGCUCAAAUUUAAAAUCUGGCGGUCUUUGGCUGUCCGAGUUGUAAUCUAGAGAAGUGUUAUCCGCGCUGGACCGUGUACAAGUCUCCUGGAAUGGAGCGUCAUAGAGGGUGAGAAUCCCGUCUUUGACACGGACUGCCAGGGCUUUGUGAUGCGCUCUCAAAGAGUCGAGUUGUUUGGGAAUGCAGCUCAAAAUGGGUGGUAAAUUCCAUCUAAAGCUAAAUAUUGGCGAGAGACCGAUAGCGAACAAGUACCGUGAGGGAAAGAUGAAAAGAACUUUGGAAAGAGAGUUAAACAGUACGUGAAAUUGCUGAAAGGGAAACGCUUGAAGUCAGUCGCGUUGUCCAGGGAUCAACCUUGCUUUUGCUUGGUGCACUUUCUGGUUGACGGGUCAGCAUCAAUUUUGACUAUUGGAAAAAGAUUAGGGGAAUGUGGCAUCUUCGGAUGUGUUAUAGCCCUUGGUUGCAUACAAUGGUUGGGAUUGAGGAACUCAGCACGCCGCAAGGCCGGGUUUUAACCACGUACGUGCUUAGGAUGCUGGCAUAAUGGCUUUAAUCGACCCGUCUUGAAACACGGACCAAGGAGUCUAACAUGCCUGCGAGUGUUUGGGUGGAAAACCCGAGCGCGUAAUGAAAGUGAAAGUUGAGAUCCCUGUCGUGGGGAGCAUCGACGCCCGGACCAGACCUUUUGUGACGGUUCCGCGGUAGAGCAUGUAUGUUGGGACCCGAAAGAUGGUGAACUAUGCCUGAAUAGGGUGAAGCCAGAGGAAACUCUGGUGGAGGCUCGUAGCGAUUCUGACGUGCAAAUCGAUCGUCAAAUUUGGGUAUAGGGGCGAAAGACUAAUCGAACCAUCUAGUAGCUGGUUCCUGCCGA
rnacentral:rRNA from 1 species